GCGGGGCAGGCGGCGGAGGAGCCGCUGCGUCCCGGUCUCCGGCGUUGCUACCCAGGGCCGACGACGGGUGCCUGCGCUGCAGGGACGACCGCGGCCGGGAGGCCAGAGCCGCACACCCGAGAUCCCCCGAAGCGGAGCGUUAACGCGAUGAUCCACGCACGUCCUUUAGAACGGACGGCAUCCUUUCAGGCUGACUCCCGUGGCUGCGGUUUCUUGGACGGUCAUCGUGAAAUAUGCGAAGAAGUGUACUUGAGGGCCUUCCACAUUCUCCUUGACCGGCUGAUGACCAUGGGUGCAUCUGGUGGCCUUUGCUCCUCUUUUGUGCCGCCCCCAAAUGUCCUUAGAGAGACCACACUUGAACCUGGUGGCGCACGCCUGUAAUCCCAGCACUCGGGAGGCUGAGGCAGGAGAAUUGCUAUAGGAACCUGCCUACGAGAUUGAACCUGACCAAGAGGUGAUGAGAAUGAAAAAGAGACAGAACCAGGUUAAAUUCUGGAGGGCCAGAGGUACUUGUCUCCCUUUGACAAAGAGCCCCAAGUGAGUGGGGCACCUUGGCUUUAUAGGACUCAUCUGCCUCCCUCCCUCCGAGGUACUUGUCCCAGUAAACAACAGAAUCUACUUUCCCCUGCAAUGUGUCAGCUUGCCUGCCCUCUUUUUCCUCAGUGCUCAUCAAGGAGGCCAGUUAGGCCUCAUUCUUCCCAGCUGGUCUCGCGCAGAUUGCCCUCUUCGAGGCCAGGCUGAACUACUUAGUGGGACUCUACCUGGAUACAUAAAUAAUCUCACUUAAGAACAACGGGGGGGGGGGGGUGAGGACUGCAGUGCUUAUGGGUUAAAACACCUUCCCUACAGGGAAAACGGCCUGUCUUGUCAAGGAAACAAGCUACCCCCAUCCCUAGUAACUCCAGAAACCUGAGGCCCUUAUCCCACCAAUUAGCCUGAGCUAAAGAAAAACGGGUGCUCUGCCCAGUCCUGCAGGUGGGGUCCGGGCACAGCCACACCUUUCCUGCCCUUGGGGGCCAGGACCCCUUAGGAGCAGUGUGAUUAGAAGCUCUCCAGGUGGCUGAGGGCUCACUGAGGACCUCACACUGAGGAGGUGGAUGGUGACAGGACCACGGUGACCGGGCUGUGCCCCCUCUUGCAGACGUUAACCACACAGGGUUACACUGCUCAGAGCUACUGAGCAGGUCCUGGUAUGCAAGUCUGUAGGCAUCAAUUCUGCAGCAAAUCUGUGUGUGUGUGUGCGCGGUUCAGAGAAUAGAACCUGGAACCCAGGGCCUCACACAUGCUAGGAAAGUGCUCUCUCUACCACUGAGUACCUCCUCAGCCCUAAAUCCUGCUCUUUAAAAGACUAAGGUUAAAUGCAAAGCAAACAUUCUAUACACAGUAUUUUCUGUUGUAACUAAGCAAACGUUUUAAAUCUCUGUUUAAGCACCACUUCAGAUGUGAUGGUUUCUACUGAAAUUGCAUCUUAUUUUCAAAGCCUGUUCUACAAUUGGAAAGGCUUAGGCCAGAUGAGUAAAUAUGUAACCAAAUUUUCAGACUGACAAAUGCAGUCUGAGAUUUGUUUCCAGAGACCUGAUGGUUUCUUGGAGCUGGUAUAUUAGGAAUAGUUUCCUUUUGAAUGAUUUUGCUGAAAGAGCUGCAGACGGCUUCUGCCUCCCAGUAGCACACUGUUCAAACUGGGCUCGAGUAUGUGUCUUACUUCCUGUCCAUCUCCUGCAAGUUUGCUUUCCACUACCUUCCAACACACAUUUAAUUGGGAAUCUCCUUUUUGCAAACAUUCAGAUCACAGAAACAAGAGGCACUGAAGAAAUGCAAGGUGGUUUGGGCACUGUUCUAAAAUCAAGAAAGGUGGGGCCUGAGAUUCCUGUCACAGUAAAGUCUCAGCAAGAGGGACUGGGCUACAGGCCUCACCCUGACCCUGGCAAGGGACAGGAAGGGGAACACAGGAUGUUGGCACUUGCUGGAUUGAGAUUGUGUGGUUUUUUUUUUUUUUUUUUUUGGUACUGGGGAUCGAACUCGGGACCUUGCACUUGCUGGGCAGGCACUGGAACCACUGAGCUAAAUCCCCAGCCCUAGAUUGUGUGGUUUUAAAUCAAAGGGAAGGGUAAGGAGGUGGUGGUGAAGGAUGAGCAAAGUCACAUGGGCAUCCAAAGGGGAAGUAACAAGACUCUCCCCAGCUUUGGGCUCACUGCACAGGUAGUCUCUUUAUUUUUUCAUCGUUAUUGGUGAAUAAUGGCUGUGUUCAGAGGACCCAGUGCUGAUUCCCUGGAGCUUGCAGAGGGGCAGCCCAGCUGCUGUGGUCAUGUCCUGUCCUCCAAACCCGUAUCUUGGAGCCUAACCCCAAGGGCGUGGUGCUAGGAGGUGGGUUUUUCAGGAGAUGGCUGGGUUGCAGGGGACACAGGAUCAGUGCCUUAUACAAGAGGCUUCUGGGAGUCCUUUUGCAUUUUCUGCCGCCAGAGAACACACAGAAAGUACCUGUGAGGAAGGGCCUCUCCGCAGACAUGGAGGCUGCUGGGGCCUUGCCCUUGGACUUUCAACCUGCCCAACUGUGAGAAAUAAAAGUCUGUUGUGUGUGAAUUAUCCAGGAUAAAGUAUUUUGUUAUAGCACCCUAACUGGACUACGACACCAGGGCUCCAAAGUGAAGAGCUACACAGCAGCCCCACCAUGCUGGAGCCGGAAGUAAAGACUUGCUGCUGGUUUAUACAAACAACACCCAAACACUUGCGUUACAGGAGUCACUGGGCCCAGGGUAAGAAUCAGCUGUGUGCACCCUCAGCAAAGGCUGAGUUCAAGGACACUGACAGGUUCUCUUGACAGCCUGAGGCCCAAAGCUCCAGGUGUCCUUUCCCCAUUUCUGGACAGAAUGAACCUCAGCAGGACUGGCAAAUGGGUGCUGCUUAGAGGUCAGGAGCAUCUGGACCAUAGGAGACUGUGUGUGGGGGCCAGAGCACCCCAGGAAUAAACCAAGUCUCAAGGAAGCCCACCUCUGCUGGACAGUGCAUUGGCAUGGGGCUCCCUUCUACUCCCUUACUCUUUUAAAGGCUGGUUGUUCCUCAGCUGGAUUUAAUGUCUCAUUCAAGGCCUGCAGCCCAUACUGUUUAGAAAUGUAAUCUUUGAGACAUGGUGUGGACAUGGUCCCAUGAAAUCUGUCUUCAACAACACGUGUUUCUAGAAUCUAGGCCUGUUGCGGAAUUACAGUUGCUGUCAUAGAACCUUGCAUUGUGUUCCGGGGAACAAUCCUGCAUGGUAUGUUCCUGACUCACUGGGUAUGGUGACCCACAGCCACAGAGGGUCAGAGCGUCCAUGAGGGUGAAAUUCGGAGUGGCACCUCAGGAGAGCAGGGCCAGCUGGGAUGUCCCUGCCUGCCUUCUCCCACAGUGUAUUCCUUUUCCCUCAGAACACCCCCGAACCUCAGGCCAUGGCUUUGGAGGUGACUCGCUCAGCCCCGAGAGCCCACCAGCCCUUCCAUCUCUCAGCACAGCCAUUGGUCAUGGACGGCCCUGAUCCCCUUUGGGUCAUGACCUUGGAGGACUGUGGCCACCUCUGAGGUGUGGCUUUGGGAGAGGAG
ensembl:lncRNA